rnacentral:rRNA from 1 species
AGUGAACGCUGGCGGUAGGCCUAACACAUGCAAGUCGAACGGCAGCACAGUAAGAGCUUGCUCUUACGGGUGGCGAGUGGCGGACGGGUGAGGAAUACAUCGGAAUCUACUUUUUCGUGGGGGAGAACGUAGGGAAACUUACGCUAAUACCGCAUACGACCUACGGGGGGAAGCAGGGGAUCUUCGGACCUUGCGCGAUUGAAUGAGCCGAUGUCGGAUUAGCUAGUUGGCGGGGUAAAGGCCCACCAAGGCGACGAUCCGUAGCUGGUCUGAGAGGAUGAUCAGCCACACUGGAACUGAGACACGGUCCAGACUCCUACGGGAGGCAGCAGUGGGGAAUAUUGGACAAUGGGCGCAAGCCUGAUCCAGCCAUACCGCGUGGGUGAAGAAGGCCUUCGGGUUGUAAAGCCCUUUUGUUGGGAAAGAAAAGCAGCAGGUUAAUACCCCGCUGUUCUGACGGUACCCAAAGAAUAAGCACCGGCUAACUUCGUG